rnacentral:rRNA from 1 species
CCUAUAAGACUGGGAUAACUUCGGGAAACCGGAGCUAAUGCCGGAUAACAUUUGGAACCGCAUGGUUCUAAAGUAAAAGAUGGUUUUGCUAUCACUUAUAGAUGGACCCGCGCCGUAUUAGCUAGUUGGUAAGGUAACGGCUUACCAAGGCAACGAUACGUAGCCGACCUGAGAGGGUGAUCGGCCACACUGGAACUGAGACACGGUCCAGACUCCUACGGGAGGCAGCAGUAGGGAAUCUUCCGCAAUGGACGAAAGUCUGACGGAGCAACGCCGCGUGAGUGAUGAAGGUUUUCGGAUCGUAAAACUCUGUUAUUAGGGAAGAACAAAUGUGUAAGUAACUGUGCACAUCUUGACGGUACCUAAUCAGAAAGCCACGGCUAACUACGUGCCAGCAGCCGCGGUAAUACGUAGGUGGCAAGCGUUAUCCGGAAUUAUUGGGCGUAAAGCGCGCGUAGGCGGUUUCUUAAGUCUGAUGUGAAAGCCCACGGCUCAACCGUGGAGGGUCAUUGGAAACUGGGAAACUUGAGUACAGAAGAGGAAAGUGGAAUUCCAUGUGUAGCGGUGAAAUGCGCAGAGAUAUGGAGGAACACCAGUGGCGAAGGCGACUUUCUGGUCUGUAACUGACGCUGAUGUGCGAAAGCGUGGGGAUCAAACAGGAUUAGAUACCCUGGUAGUCCACGCCGUAAACGAUGAGUGCUAAGUGUUAGGGGGUUUCCGCCCCUUAGUGCUGCAGCUAACGCAUUAAGCACUCCGCCUGGGGAGUACGACCGCAAGGUUGAAACUCAA